AAAACAUGUCUUUUUGAUAAAAAUUUUAAGUCAGGUCUGCUCACUGAAUUAUUUUAAAGAGCCGCAGUAUAUUGACUGUGCAAAGGUAGCAUAAUCAAUAGUUUCUUAAUUGGGAACUAGAAUGAAAGAUUAGACGAAAAAUUAAUUUUCUUUGUUUUAAUAAAUUUAAUUUUAAAUUUAAGUGAAAAUGCUUAAAUACAAUUAAAAGACGAGAAGACCCUAUAGAUUUUUAUUAUUGAAAUAAAUUUUUAAAUUUAAUUUAAUAAGAUAAUUUAAUUGGGGCGAUUUUAUAAUAUAAAUAACUUAAUUUUUUUAAACCAUAAAUAAUUGAAUAUUUGAUCUAAAAUUUUUAAAGAAAAGAUUAAAUUACCUUAGGGAUAACAGCGUAAUUUUAUUUAAGAGUUCAUAUCUAUAAUAAAGUUUGCGACCUCGAUGUUGAAUUAAGAUAAUAUAUUGGAGUAGAAAUUAAUAUAAUUAGUCUGUUCGACUAUUAAAUUCUUACGUGAUCUG
rnacentral:rRNA from 1 species